GACGUAGGACGCAAGCGUUAUCCGGAGUUACUGGGCGUAAAGCGCGAGCAGGCGGCCCGUUAAGUUCGCUGUGAAAGCGCCCGGCUCAACCGGGCGAGGCCAGUGAAAACUGAGGGGCUGGAGGGCAGUAGAGGCAGGCGGAAUUCCGGGUGGAGUGGUGAAAUGCGUAGAGAUCCGGAGGAACACCAGAGGCGAAGGCGGCCUGCUGGGCUGCACCUGACGCUGAGCCGCGAAAGCCAGGGGAGCGAACGGG
rnacentral:rRNA from 1 species